rnacentral:tRNA from 1 species
CCCCGUUGUGUAGCGGCCUAGCACGCCGCCCUCUCAAGGCGGUAGCGCCGGUUCGAAUCCGGUCGGGGGUACA